AGUGAACGCUGGCGGUAGGCCUAACACAUGCAAGUCGAACGGCAGCACAGUAAGAGCUUGCUCUUACGGGUGGCGAGUGGCGGACGGGUGAGGAAUACAUCGGUAUCUACUUUUUCGUGGGGGAUAACGUAGGGAAACUUACGCUAAUACCGCAUACGACCUACGGGUGAAAGCAGGGGAUCUUCGGACCUUGCGCGAUUGAAUGAGCCGAUGUCGGAUUAGCUAGUUGGCGGGGUAAAGGCCCACCAAGGCGACGAUCCGUAGCUGGUCUGAGAGGAUGAUCAGCCACACUGGAACUGAGACACGGUCCAGACUCCUACGGGAGGCAGCAGUGGGGAAUAUUGGACAAUGGGCGCAGGCCUGAUCCAGCCAUACCGCGUGGGUGAAGAAGGCCUUCGGGUUGUAAAGCCCUUUUGUUGGGAAAGAAAAGCAGCAGGUUAAUACCCCGCUGUUCUGACGGUACCCAAAGAAUAAGCACCGGCUAACUUCGUG
rnacentral:rRNA from 1 species